rnacentral:rRNA from 1 species
GACGAACGCUGGCGGCGCGCUUAACACAUGCAAGUCGAGCGAAGCGGCGGACGGGUGAGUAACACGUGAGUAACCUGCCUUAGACAUUGGGAUAGCCUCGGGAAACCGGGAUUAAUACCAAAUGGUCUAAGAUGGACUCGCGUCCCAUUAGCCAGUUGGUGACGUAACGGCCCACCAAGGCGACGAUGGGUAGACGGCGUGGGAGAGUGGGCGGCGACAUCGGAAGUGGGAAACGGUCCGAACUCUGCGGGAGGGAGGAGUGGGGAAUAGUGCACAAUGGAGGGAACUCUGAAGGAGUGAGGCCGGGUAAACGAAGAAGGCGGUCGAGUCGUAAAGUUCUUUUAUAUGGGAAGCGGUACCAGAAGAAAAAGCCCCGGCUAACUACGUGCCAGCCGCCGCGGUAAUAC